rnacentral:rRNA from 1 species
GGAUUCCCCUAGUAACUGCGAGUGAAGCGGGAAAAGCUCAAAUUUAAAAUCUGGCAGUCUUUGAUUGUCCGAGUUGUAGUCUGGAGAAGCGUCUUCCGCGCUGGACCGUGCACAAGUCUCCUGGAACGGAGCGUCAUAGAGGGUGAGAAUCCCGUCUUUGGCACGGACUACCAGUGCUUUGUGAUGCGCUCUCAAAGAGUCGAGUUGUUUGGGAAUGCAGCUCAAAAUGGGUGGUAUACUCCAUCUAAAGCUAAAUAUUGGCGAGAGACCGAUAGCGAACAAGUACCGUGAGGGAAAGAUGAAAAGCACUUUGGAAAGAGAGUUAAACAGUACGUGAAAUUGUUGAAAGGGAAACGCUUGAAGUCAGUCGCGUCUGCUAGAACUCAGCCUUGCCUCGGCUCGGUGCAUUUUCUAGUAGACGGGCCAGCAUCACUUUUGGCUGCGGGAUAAAGAUCUCAGGAAUGUGGCACCUUCGGGUGUGUUAUAGCCUGGGGUUGUAUACCGUGGCUGGGAGUGAGGAUCUCAGCACGCCUUUAUUGGCGGGGGUUUGCGCCCACCUUCGUGCUUCGGAUGCUGGCGUAAUGGCUUUAAACGACCCGUCUUGAAACACGGACCAAGGAGUCUAACAUGCCUGCGAGUGUUUGGGUGGAAAACCCGAGCGCGUAAUGAAAGUGAAAGUUGGGAUCUCUGUCGUGGAGAGCACCGACGCCCGGACCAGACCUUCUGUGACGGAUCCGCGGUAGAGCAUGUAUGUUGGGACCCGAAAGAUGGUGAACUAUGCCUGAAUAGGGUGAAGCCAGAGGAAACUCUGGUGGAGGCUCGUAGCGAUUCUGACGUGCAAAUCGAUCGUCAAAUUUGGGAUAUAGGGGCGAAAGACUAAUCGAACCAU